rnacentral:rRNA from 1 species
AUUGAACGCUGGCGGCAGGCCUAACACAUGCAAGUCGAACGGUAACAGGAAGAAGCUUGCUUCUUUGCUGACGAGUGGCGGACGGGUGAGUAAUGUCUGGGAAACUGCCUGAUGGAGGGGGAUAACUACUGGAAACGGUAGCUAAUACCGCAUAACGUCGCAAGACCAAAGAGGGGGACCUUCGGGCCUCUUGCCAUCGGCUGUGCCCAGAUGGGAUUAGCUAGUAGGUGGGGUAACGGCUCACCUAGGCGACGAUCCCUAGCUGGUCUGAGAGGAUGACCAGCCACACUGGAACUGAGACACGGUCCAGACUCCUACGGGAGGCAGCAGUGGGGAAUAUUGCACAAUGGGCGCAAGCCUGAUGCAGCCAUGCCGCGUGUAUGAAGAAGGCCUUCGGGUUGUAAAGUACUUUCAGCGGGGAGGAAGGGAGUAAAGUUAAUACCUUUGCUCAUUGACGUUACCCGCAGAAGAAGCACCGGCUAACUCCGUG